GAGCCCUAUAUGAUCUCAAGUAAUUUUUUUUUCCUGCAUUCUCUUAAGCCUGAUGUAGAGUGAAGGUACCUUCGACUAUGGAUCUCUCAUAUCCCUAUAUCUUGGAAGGUGGGAUGGAGAAACGAAAUCAUGAAGAACUGAAAUUAUGUGCCCCGCUGAUCAAUAAUGAUAAAACCGCAGAAGUUAAAGCCUCCUGCUGAGUGCCAACCAUUGAAAUGCAUCAAAGCCAGCGACCAACAAGGAUGCCUGACAGUCCUCCAGUGGCCUGAGCACUCAGCCGAGCUGCAGCAUGGCAGCCUGGCAGAAGUGUUCUAAUGAAUUCCAUGUGUUUUUUACAGUACCCGCCUCUCUCCUGAGUAUUUAUGCAAUAAAUGACUUGAGGGGCAGAAGAAAGCAGAGAUCUUCCAAUGCCCUCAUUCUUUUCUGCCUGGAUGGUAUUUUUAGCCAGCAACCC